rnacentral:rRNA from 1 species
AACGAACGCUGGCGGCGUGCUUAACACAUGCAAGUCGAACGAAGUAGCAAUACUUAGUGGCGCACGGGUGAGUAACACGUGGGAAUCUGCCCUAAGUGGGGGAUAACAGCUGGAAACGGCUGCUAAUACCGCAUAAUCUCGAAAGAGCAAAGAUUUAUCGCUUUAGGAUGAGCCCGCGUCUGAUUAGCUAGUUGGUGAGGUAAUGGCUCACCAAGGCGAAGAGCAGUAGCCGGUCUGAGAGGACGAUCGGCCACCCUGGGACUGAGACACGGCCCAGACUCCUACGGGAGGCAGAAGUGGGGAAUGUUUGACAAUGGGAGCAAGCAUGAUCCAGCGACGCCGCGUGAAUGAUGAAGGCCUUCGGGUUGUAAAGUUCUUUUGGCAGGGAAGAUAGUGACGGUACCUGCAGAAUAAGCACCGGCAAACUCUGUGCCAGCCGCCGCCGUAA